AGUGCAGUCAAGCUAGAGCACCAGAUGUCAGCUGCAGAUGUCCGAUGGAAGGCAGGUGUAAGCUGGAAGCCAUGCCGACCGGAUGCCAAGUGCGGUCGAUAGUGCAGUCUAUCAAGAGCGGGAUCAUGCAGGUGUCAGGUGUAGGCCAGGAUCAGCUGUAAGUCACGUGUCAGGUGUGGGCGUUUCAAGCUGCCCAUGUUGGAAAGUGCGGUGGAGCUAGAAAGUUAUUCACUUUCAGCAUCAUGUCUGAGAGGAUUCAGGAUUUAGAGAGAAACAGAAGGGAGCAGCGAUUUAGAACAACAUCUCCUGUUACAGCGAACGCGUGAAUUACAACUCCGCAGAAGGAAAAGGGAGCGAGAAUUGUACAGCAGGAACGGACAACGGGACGGAAGACAGAACGGAAUGGAAAACGGAAAAUAUUAUAUACAAUGUCAUGAGCUCAGCACUUUGUAAAAUCAAAAGGCUUAUAUAACAAAGGAAGCAGGAAUUACAGAGAGAUCGGAGGAAUAUACACCAGACUGGAUAAUCCAUCCAUUGGGAAUCGGCUUUCACUGUCUUCCAGAAGACUGAAUCUACAACAAAUAUAUAAACUAUAAGUAUAUAGAUAUUGAGUAAAAGCGAUUAUUUUCUAUUUUGUACGAGACAGGCUACUGACAAACAAGUUGAUGAUGCAAAAAUUUCAGCAGUCUCGUUUAAAGUCAGCAUUUCGCAAAUUCUAUGGUCGUUAUAACGAGCUAGUUUGCCAUUACAACCUAUCAUUGGGCUGUCUGAUGUGUUUCAUACUGAUUGUCAGGCCGUUCUUAGCACACUGAUUUUGACUACGGAUAACUCCGUUAACCUGAUCAAGAUAUAGGGCUCACGGUGGGUGUAACCGGUCGACAGGGGAUGCUUACUCCUCCUGGGCACCUGAUCCCACCUUUGGUGUGUUGGCCCAACUCUCUAUUUUGUAUUGCUUACAGUAGAUCGCCUUGGAAUCAGCCUCCUUUCUAAUGUUACUCUCAUUCAGAUUAGUCCAAAAAAUAAUUUGAGAAGUAUGUUUUUUGUGAAUAAACAUUGUAUUCUUUGUGCACUGAUUUUGACUACGAAUUACUACGUUUACCUCAUGAAGACAUAGGGCCCAUGGUGGAUGUGCCCGUUCGACAGGGAUUGCUUACUCCUCCUAGGUACCUGAUCCCACCUUUGGUAUAUCCAGGGGUUCAUGUUUGUCUAACUCUCUAGUUUGCAUUCCUUAUAGGGUUUUGAGAUUGAUCACUGUUAGUUAUCUUAACCUUUCCUGUGCAAUCUUUCCAAAACCCCACCCAUUCACCCCAUGUCAUAAUGUAUUUUAAAGUUAUGAUACUGGCUGCUGGUCCCCCCCCCCCCCAAGUACCCGUUCUCUGUUUUACAUGUAGUAUACGAGACGCUAUGCUGCUACCUGCUAAUUUUGUGCAGCAUACCAACUUAACUGAUUCAAUGUGUAUUGGUAAGUUGCCAGUGAAUUUGCAUCUGCUUUAAUCUGUUUUGUGCAAUUAAACUAUGGCCGUACAUUUUGUAAAUAUUAACAAAACUGAUUGCGUAAUUGCGCAAACUAUUGGGUUAAUCUAACAUACUAUAACAAGCAACUAUUCGUGGUUAACCCGGGUCGGUCAAUUUUGAACUUGUUGCAUUUUCUUUGUUGAUUGAAGUUGCAUUUGUGUAGAGUAGCUCAGAUAUCUUCCGAUUGGCAUCCAACAAAUUCUUUUCACUCACCAAAUAAAGUUUAAAGUAGUUUCGCCUGUUGUUGUUGUUUCUCUGCCUCAAUAAGCAUUUCAAAGAAAUUUAUUUCAAAUAUAUCAAAGUACUGUUUUAACAUAUAUUUAUACGUGUUGCUCAAUACGUUUCCAGGGCAACUGUGCUAUCAUUCUAUGUGGAUUAAAUUUGAUGAUGAACAUUCAUUAUGUGAAGG